rnacentral:rRNA from 1 species
GAUGAACGCUAGCUACAGGCUUAACACAUGCAAGUCGAGGGGUAACAAGAGGAAAGCUUGCUUUUCUUGUUGACGACCGGCGCACGGGUGAGUAACGCGUAUCCAACCUGCCUAUAACUAGGGAAUAACCUUGCGAAAGUAAGACUAAUACCCUAUGAUUUCCUUUGAUGACAUCAGAUUAGGAAUAAAGAUUUAUCGGUUAUAGAUGGGGAUGCGUCUGAUUAGCUUGUUGGCGGGGUAACGGCCCACCAAGGCAACGAUCAGUAGGGGUUCCGAGAGGAAGGUCCCCCACAUUGGAACUGAGACACGGUCCAAACUCCUACGGGAGGCAGCAGUGAGGAAUAUUGGUCAAUGGGCGGAAGCCUGAACCAGCCAAGUAGCGUGCAGGAUGACGGCCCUAUGGGUUGUAAACUGCUUUUAUACAGGAAUAAAGUUAGCCACGUGUGGUUAUUUGUAGGUACUGUAUGAAUAAGGACCGGCUAAUUCCGUGCCAGCAGCCGCCGUAACAC